GAUGUUUCUACACCCUUAUAAGGAAUGUUUCGCUCCCCUCUCAAACCGAUGUGGGAUCUCACAUUCAAUAACCUUGUAACUAGGAAAGAACCCAGCAUGCUUACACGCUCUCCUUAUGAGGCCUCACUUCACCAACUUGCUUCAUCACCUCCACUGUCUUGUACCUAUAACAAGAUGCACACACUAAGUAGAAUCCAAAGUAUACAAGACUCAGCUGUGACAGUAGCCAGUAAAAAUAGUUUAGAUGAUCUCUGUCCAGGUUACUACUAGCCAGCCACCACUUUCCUUGAUCACCACCUCCACCACCACUGAGCUGGUGAAGUAUCCAAUUGCCUUUGAAUUGAUGGAGUGGGCACAUCAAAGCCCAGAAAACUCGAAUAUGUGAUUUCCUGCUCGAUUGUGAAAGUCUGGAGUUGAGCCGACUAUGAGUUCAUAAACACAGUGCUGACUACAAUUGGAACCAUUCGGAUCUGUAUCGCUAAUAACUGCAGUUCGGUCCAAGAAUCUGGGGAACUCAUAGCCAUUUUAAUUAGAAACACAGAACAACACACAGCUUGGAGUCAUGGAAGAAAAGGAGGCAGAGUUCAUAGCGUUGUCUGAAGCGAUCACAGUAAGGAUAUUUUUAUGAUGAUCAAAGUAGUACCCAUUUUACUUGUAAAAGAAUAAUUAAAUUGAUAGGGUGCAAGCAGAAGUACUUCAACCGUGCGGCGUCGUAACCUUGUGGUCCUGACGCGCAUGACAAGCCUUGAGGAAAAUCUAAGCCCCAUAUUCAUUUUUAUUCCAGUUUUGUGGUUUCGUUAAACUUUAGACGAUGUUUAUUUUUACCAAUCGAACACAACUUGUGUUGAAUCUAAACUUGUUUGGCUA